CCAGUUAGAUACUGACAACAAAAACUCCAUCACCGCUCAACUGACCGCGUCUUCUACUUCUCAUUUAUUCCAGCUGUUGAUUCCAUCCAACCCUAUUGUUCCCUGCUCCACUGAUCGAUUUUUUCACAUCUUCAGUUCCUCGGGUCAAUCCUCCCCUGCUCGCCUUCCCCACUUUGGUUUAAUCCCCCACAGGGGUUCCGCCUCAAGCAACUGUACACCACCGUCUCCACCCUUCUACUUUGUCGCCUCCAAGACAGAAACGAAAUAACAAAGCAAUCAGCAAGCGUCAGUAGCAGCGGUGGUGUUAUUUGGAGUUAGAAAUGGAAGAGUUAUUGCCUGACCUGUGGUCUAUCCCAUCAGUCGAAGGCGUAGACUGUCGUCUCCUCAGGAAGUAGUGAAGCAGAGGACAGGGGCCUAGCUGGCCUGUAACACCGGUGGCCAUAUUUGUAAGUUAGAAUUGUCAUUGUGCUUUGAUGGAUUUUAGAGCCCUAGGAUCGAAUGCUAAGGUAAUUAUUCAUCUCUUUCAACUUCGAUUGCAUCGUCAUCAACAGGCUUAAAGGGCUUGGAAUUAACGCAAAUCAAAUUGGGAGAGAGACGCGACCCCAAUUUGCUGUACACCUCAAAACCCCAUUUUUAACUUCAUUCAAGAGACUGAUUUGUUUAUUUGUUUGGUGUUUCUUUGAAAAUUUCUUGAUCUAAGUUUGGGUGAUGGAAGAAACUUAGACAAAACGAAGCCCUUUCUAUUCUUCCCUCUCCCUCCUGUUGUUGCUGAUUGACGAAUUCUAGCAUUAAAUUAAGCACCGACAAACUAAAUUAAGCGAUGUCGGAGGAAGGCUUCUUUCCUUUCUUGACUAACGAGUCCGACCUGGUCACCUGGAUAUUCUGCCUUUGAAACUAUAGAAGAUAUGAUUCCUGGAGAAACGGUAAAACCAGAAAGAAAACAACCAAAUGUGAAUCAUGAUUGGGUGCUAAACUUCAAACAGGUUGUUGCAGUGAAAACCUGUGAAAUGGACACCGAUUACAAUCAUCUUCAUUGUUCCAUUUGUUCUUUUAUGGAGCAGCUUUAAACAAUAAGAAUCUGUAAAUUACUUCCCUUAGAUGACAAAAACAGUAAGCUUGGAUGGGGCGCAACCAUUAGAGAAGGAUUUGUUUGUACAUUAUCAGCAUGAAUAUAUCUCCAGAAAAUAAAAAAUAUUGAGGAUUUUUUCUGCAGAAUAUUGUCGUGUAUUUUUGUGUAUAUGUUUUGUUUAAUGUCUCAGGGGAGUAAAUUAAUUAGUUAUGUUGUUUUGUUAGUUAAAACAUGGACUCGAGUCAGAUGGAUGAAUCGUGUAGCAAACACACAAAUUUAAUAUAAUGGAAGUGAUUGUAAAUUUGUAACU